rnacentral:rRNA from 1 species
UACGAAGGGGGCUAGCGUUGCUCGGAAUCACUGGGCGUAAAGCGCACGUAGGCGGAUUGCUAAGUCAGGGGUGAAAUCCUGAAGCUCAACUCCAGAACUGCCUUUGAUACUGGCGACCUUGAGUCCGGGAGAGGUGAGUGGAACUGCGAGUGUAGAGGUGAAAUUCGUAGAUAUUCGCAAGAACACCAGUGGCGAAGGCGGCUCACUGGCCCGGUACUGACGCUGAGGUGCGAAAGCGUGGGGAGCAAACAGG